rnacentral:tRNA from 1 species
CGGGGCGUGGCUCAGCUUGGCUAGAGCGCUGCGUUCGGGACGCAGAGGUCGAAGGUUCAAAUCCUUUCGCCCCGACCA